rnacentral:rRNA from 1 species
AUAUUGGACAAUGGGGGCAACCCUGAUCCAGCAAUGCCGCGUGAGUGAUGAAGGCCUUCGGGUUGUAAAGCUCUUUCACCCGCGACGAUGAUGACGGUACCUAGAGAAGAAGCACCGGCUAACUCCGUGCCAGCAGCCGCGGUAAUACGGAGGGUGCAAGCGUUGUUCGGAAUUACUGGGCGUAAAGCGCACGUAGGCGGGUUCGUAAGUCGAUUGUGAAAGCCCCGGGCUCAAUCCGGGAAUUGCAGUCGAAACUACGAGUCUUGAAUACCUGAGAGGGUGACGGAAUUCCUGGUGUAGAAGUGAAAUUCGUAGAUAUCAGGAGGAACACCGGAGGCGAAGGCGGUUGCCUGGCAGUGUAUUGACGCUGAGGUGCGAAAGCGUGGGGAGCAA